GGGAAGGGAUUCAAACUGUUCAGAAGUAGUGUGUCCGAACCUCAUCCCUAGCUCAUGUCCACAGCCAGGUUCAACUCUAACCUCAUCCCUAGCUCAUGUCCACAGCCAGGUUCAACUCUAACCUCAUUCCUAGCUCAUGUCCACAGCCAGGUUCAACUCUAACCUCAUCCCUAGCUCAUGUCCACAGCCAGGUUCAACUCUAACCUCAUCCCUAGCUCAUGUCCACAGCCAGGUUCAACUCUAACCUCAACCCUAGCUCAUGUCCACAGCCAGGUUCAACUCUAACCUCAACCCUAGCUCAUGUCCACAGCCAGGUUCAACUCUAACCUCAACCCUAGCUCAUGUCCACAGCCAGGUUCAACUCUAACCUCAACCCGAGCUCAUGUCCACAGCCAGGUUCAACUCUAACCUCAUCCCUAGCUCAUGUCCACAGCCAGGUUCAACUCUAACCUCAACCCUAGCUCAUGUCCACAGCCAGGUUCAACUCUAACCUCAACCCUAGCUCAUGUCCACAGCCAGGUUCAACUCUAACCUCAACCCUAGCUCAUGUCCACAGCCAGGUUCAACUCUAACCUCAACCCUACCUCAUGUCCACAGCCAGGUUCAACUCUAACCUCAACCCUAGCUCAUGUCCACAGCCAGGUUCAACUCUAACCUCAACCAUAGCUCAUGUCCACAGCCAGGUUCAACUCUAACCUCAACCAUAGCUUAUGUCCACAGCCAGGUUCAACCCUAACUCUAACCUCAACCCGAGCUCAUGUCCACAGCCAGGUUCAACCCUAACUCUAACCUCAACCCCAGCUCAUGUCCACAGGCAGGUUCAACCCUAACUCUAACCUCAACCCUAGCUCAUGUCCACAGGCAGGUUCAACCCUAGCCCAUGUCCACAGGCAGGUUCAAUCCUAACUCGAACCUAAACCCUAGCCCAUGUCCACAGCCAGGUUCAAGCCUAACUCUAACCUCAACCCUAGCUCAUGUCCACAGCAAGGUUCAACCCUAACUCUAACCUCAACCCUAGCUCAUGUCCACAGCAAGGUUCAACCCUAACUCUAACCUCAACCCUAGCUUCAUGUCCACAUCCCUAGCUUCAUGUCCACAUCCCUAGCGUCAUGUCCACAUCCACUAACCCUAGCCUAAACCUAAACAGUUCAGAGGUAGUCUACUACGCACAUCCAACAUUGACUAUAACACAGUUUGGGGAUUUCUACUCCUUUCAUUUGAAAUGAUUCAAACUGACAUCAGAUAGCCAACAGUGGGAGUGGGACAUUUUCCUGUGGCGCAGUGACGUACAGUAACUACAGGAUGGGAGUGACACACAGCUGCCACAACAGAACACUGAAGGCCUGAAGUCAAAGCAUUUUAAACCAACCUGAUACGACUACAGUAACACACACACAGAAA